GUAGGGGGCAAGCGUUGUCCGGAUUUAUUGGGCGUAAAGAGCGUGUAGGCGGCCAGAUAGGUCCGUUGUGAAAACUCGGGGCUCAACCUCGAGACGCCGAUGGAAACCAUUUGGCUAGAGCCCGGAAGAGGAGAGUGGAAUUCCUGGUGUAGCGGUGAAAUGCGCAGAUAUCAGGAAGAACACCCGUGGCUAAGGCGGCUCUCUAGUACGGUACUGACGCUGAGACGCGAAAGCGUGGGGAGCGAACAGGAUUAGAUACCCUGGUAGUCCACGCCGUAAACGAUGGGUGCUAGGUGUGGGGGGUGUCGACUCCCUCCGUGCCGAAGCUAACGCAUUAAGCACCCCGCCUGGGGAGUACGGCCGCAAGGCUA
rnacentral:rRNA from 1 species